rnacentral:lncRNA from 1 species
GGGCUGCCAGUUCUGCUGCAUAUUUCCCUCUUCCCGCAAUUAAAAAAUAAAACCAAAAACCUAAUUCCCUUUAAAUCCAAAGUAUCAGAAUAGAAAAAUAAUGAAACCAGUGUUUUCAACAGCUUUUUGGCAGGAGGAGGAUGAAAGGGAUGAACCAGCAUGCCUUUCUGCUUCAGGUGGAAGUGUCUUCAUGCCUGUCAGGGCUUUCUUAUGGCUGUGGAGCAGGCCUGCAUGGCUGUGGGGCCACAGGGAAAUGGCGCUUGGCUGUGUGGCAUUUGCAGGCGCCCCUCUGCCCACUCUGGUUUCCCAGUCGAGCAGGAGAGGCUCUUAUGCACUCUCAGCAAGGACAUCUUAAAUGUGAGAAAGGACUGCAAAAGACCUUGAGGUCAGUGCAGCUUGAUGGAAGUGUUCACCGUGAGUCCAACUGGAAGAACUUCUGGAAUUCUAGUUUUAUUUACAAGCUAUUUCAAAACAAGUUUAAUGGAGUCCAGAUCCUCAGUACAUGUAUAUCUGCUGAAUAUUUCUGAAGACCUACACAGUUCUGGGAAAAUUUGAGUUAUUUGGAUGCUCUACUUGAACAGGAAAAAGAGAGAUAAUGACAUACAGAGGAUGCCUGGGAGGUGGCUAUUAUGUUUUUGUUAUGGCAAUUGUAAACCUGGAACGUGUUAUGACAUGUCGCGUAGCUAUUUGCCCUAGUUCUCUAAGAGUGUGGAAGGCCAGUGCAAGGUCUUCAGUCUUGCUGGCUUCCCAGUUUUGUCUUUGAUGCACUCUGCCUUCAUUUGGAGGUGGAAAACUAACAUGCAAAACAAGAAUAUGUCUGUGUAUGUGCCUGCGUUUGUUCAAAUGAACAUACAGGGUACUUGAUCCCUGUGGGCCCCUUCCAACUUGGGAUAUUCUAUGAUUCUGUAGCAGAAAGGUUUAAAAAAUACAUGCAUAUAUAAAAAAAGGUCUGAAAAUGUUUUUGAUAGCAGUUCUUCUCAACCUGUAAAUCUGACUAGGAACCCUGCUUUGUGUUUCUGCAACCCACAGGAGAGCUGCAACAAACACCUUUGUGUACCAACAGUGAGACAGUGGUACUGUGCUGAAAUAACUACCUAGCCUUGCUGGAAGGGUGCAUGUGGUGGGGAGGAAAGCACUGACAAUAAUGGAGAUGUGCAGCUCUUGGGGAUACAUGGAGCCAUACCACAUCUGCAGUGCUGCCCAUGGCUUAUGCAGGCCUGCUGUCAGGACAAGUCCUGAGGCAGUGCUGUUACUGGAACGUAGCAGUGCUCUUUUGCUUUGUUCCCUCUUAUGUUGUGGUGGCUGUUACUACUUUCAUUUCUAUUAAUGGAUCUCUCUUGUUACUAACACAGCUUCAGGAUAUGGUAGAAGGCUGGAAAACUAAUAGUAUUUGCUGGACACUGCUGUGGUAUUGCUUGUGCAUGGUUAGUCUGCUUACUUUUUUGAAAUACAAAAAUAACCUUGGUAUGUUUAUUAAUUAACAUUCUAAGAAACAUAUUUAAUGUUUUUACACAUUUUACUGUAACA